rnacentral:rRNA from 1 species
GAUGAACGCUGGCGGCGUGCUUAACACAUGCAAGUCGAACGAUGAAGCCCAGCUUGCUGGGUGGAUUAGUGGCGAACGGGUGAGUAACACGUGAGUAACCUGCCCUUAACUCUGGGAUAAGCCUGGGAAACUGGGUCUAAUACCGGAUAGGAGCGUCCACCGCAUGGUGGGUGUUGGAAAGAUUUAUCGGUUUUGGAUGGACUCGCGGCCUAUCAGCUUGUUGGUGAGGUAAUGGCUCACCAAGGCGACGACGGGUAGCCGGCCUGAGAGGGUGACCGGCCACACUGGGACUGCGACACGGCCCAGACUCCUACGGGAGGCAGCAGUGGGGAAUAUUGCACAAUGGGCGAAAGCCUGAUGCAGCGACGCCGCGUGAGGGAUGACGGCCUUCGGGUUGUAAACCUCUUUCAGUAGGGAAGAAGCGAAAGUGACGGUACCUGCAGAAGAAGCACCGGCUAACUACGUG